UGUGUAGGCGGCCUGUUAAGUUCCGUGUGAAAUCUCCCGGCUCAACCGGGAGGGUGCGCGGAAAACUGGCGGGCUAGAGUGCGGGAUGGGAGAGUAGAAUUCCUGGUGUAGCGGUGAAAUGCGUAGAUAUCAGGAGGAAUACCGGUGGUGUAGACGGCUCUCUGGACCGUAACUGACGCUGAGACACGAAAGCGUGGGUAGCAAACAGGAUUAGAUACCCUGGUAGUCCACGCCCUAAACGAUGCAUAUUUGGUGUAGGUCAUUCAGUUGAUCUGUGCCGGAGCUAACGCGUUAAAUAUGCCGCCUGGGGAGUACAGUCGCAAGGCUGAA
rnacentral:rRNA from 1 species